rnacentral:miRNA from 1 species
ACACAUUCCAGCCAAUCAGCAGCAGAUCCUCCCUCCCUGACCCUCCCACCUCCUGGACAGCUCACUAAGAAUGCAGCUUCACAAUGAAUGUAAAAUGGAUGCUGUCCAAGAGGUGGGAGGGUCUGGGAGGGAGGGUCUGCUGCUGAUUGGCUGGAAUGUGUCU